GGAAGAGUGAUUGACCGCGGAGAGGAAGCGCGGCGCAUAAAUCACGAGCCGAGGAACACGAAUCGCAUAGAAGGCGCUAUCGAACAGGGCGAGCGGGACACAAACCGCAAGCUCUUGUGGUCAAGGCGAGGUGGCGUAGAUGCGGCGGUUGUGGCGGUGCCGCCC
rfam:Janthinobacterium sp. CG23_2 isolate Janthinobacterium sp. CG23_25 genome assembly, contig: Contig_scf7180000000010_quiver